ACAUCUUGUAUUUGGUGAUGACGUUACUGAUGGAGGCAGUGACGACCUUGAAAAGAUAACAAAGAUUGCUAGGGAGAUGGUAAUCAGCCCUCAAAAUGCAAGGUUGGGCCUUACUGCUCUAACAAAAAGAGUUGGACUCAGAGAUCGACCUGACAGCCCAGAAAGCGGGUUGAUAAAGUAUAAGUGGGAUGAUCCUCAUGUGAUUCCUGCGAACAUGACACUUGAAGUAUCCGAGCUAUUUACCCGAGAGUUGACAAGGUAUAUCAAAGAGACAGAAGAUCUUGCAAUGAGAGGACUGAGGGACAAUAUACACAUACUGGAUGUGAUUACAAAGGCGCUGUUGGAGAAGUCAAGAAUAACUGGAUUGGAAGUUGAGGAGAUAAUGAAGGGGCUUUCUCCAAUGAUGUUUGAAGAUUUUGUAAAGCCAUUCCAGAUAGACUUGAAAGAGGAGGGACCAUUGUCUCAUAAUGACAAGUUGCGAUAUCAACCUUUAGAUGUAUAUCCUGCCCCACUCCAUCGAUGUUGAUGAAUUUGUGAUAAGAACCUUUGGAUAUAUUUUCAUCACCAGUCCAUCAAUGUUGAAGGUCCUAGGAAUUGGAUGCUAUAAUCUUAAUCCUUUGCAUGCAAAUUUUGCACCAAGAUUUCCGAAAAGAUAUUUAGGAACUGGAAAAUAGGAAGCCAUGCAACACAGUCUUCUUGCCAGAGUCCAUUUGCCUUUCGAAAAAUGAUUUCCAUGCAAGGAAGUUUGUAGCCAGGCUAUACUCAGUUUGUUAAAGGCAACAGUGCUUCAUUGGGGUUUGCCUCGAGUACUUCGACCUUGGGAAGGAAAUCUCGCUUCAACAAGCAUGGCUUUGAAUCCUGAUAUGGAAUCCAACAGCAUGCCUUUUGCCAGUUUUGUCCCAACAAUGACAAUUUUGUUCUUUGUUGAUUGAUAUUGCGGGAAUAUGGUAAUGUUCUCAAAUGUUUGCUGUCUAUUGUAGCAUGAAUUUAUAAAAUCAAAUCUGUACAACAGUUUCAUGUGCUGAAAUAGAAGGGAUAGAUU
rnacentral:misc_RNA from 1 species